UAUGAAAGCUUGUUGAAUUAUCUUUCCAAGAUCACUCAAUUUUGAUGAAUAACGAGGUAGACAUGGCUGAUUUCAUGAAGGUGUGCGAGGCCGGUUGCACAACCUAGCAGAAUUGUGUCACCAGAGGGAUUGUGGAUUGCAUGACCCAGUUCAGCCUAUUUGAGUUUUUACUUUUCUUUUUAAAAUACCAUGAACAUCCUCCCAGGGCUUUAGGAGUCGUUUGUCACAUACAUGGGCCGUUGUAAGCUAUUGUUCACAGAUCUGGACCCACAAAUUGACCAGGUUGCUCGAUAUUGACUUUGACCUUCUAGAACUUGACUAUCUUUUUUUAAAAGAAAUCCACCAUUGGAAACUUCAUAUAGCACAUAACUUGAUCAAGCAUGGUCCUUGUAUUGUUGAACCAUCAAAAUGACCGUGUGAGCAAUGCAAACUUCAGGAGGGCCUUCAGAGACUUCAACUUUGGUUGUAACUUGUUGGAGGUUAAUCUAGGAUGGUCCAGCAAUUUUGAAGGGUCCAGAUGAAGGAGUAGAGGUCUCUAUUGUUAACUUGUGAUUUUACCAUGUGAGUCACUCCACGGUUUACGCCGUUGCAUACAGUGGUUACAAUGAAAGAACACCAUUAUUUGAA